rfam:Gossypium raimondii Chr05_contig_290, whole genome shotgun sequence.
CACGUCAGCGCGCUUUGUUGACGUGGACACAAAUCGCGCUCCAGAGGACGCGAUUUGUUGCCAUGUCAGCAAAGCGCACUGACGUGG